rnacentral:rRNA from 1 species
UACGUAGCAGCGAGCGUUGUUCGGAGUUACUGGGCGUAAAGAGUGCGUAGGCGGUGCUCUAAGUUUGGUGUGAAAUCUCCCGGCUCAACUGGGAGGGUGCGCCGAAAACUGGAGUGCUCGAGUAUGGGAGAGGUAAGCGGAAUUCCUGGUGUAGCGGUGAAAUGCGUAGAUAUCAGGAGGAACACCUGCGGUGUAGACGGCUUACUGGACCAUGACUGACGCUGAGGCACGAAAGCGUGGGGAGCAAACAGG